rnacentral:lncRNA from 1 species
GCCUGGGCAAGUGAGCCACUUGGGUUCCUCCAGAAAAUGAGAACUAUCCAUUCCACGGCAAUUGGAUGAUUGAUUCCUCCUGAUGAGUUUUCCAGGUGACCCCAGUUUGAGUGACCCAGGUCAGUUUCCUGGGAGAUGGGUGCAUAUGCUGCGUGAAAAUAUGGUUUCGGUUCUGCUGGUUCUGUGUCAUUGUUUUGAUUUAGGGCCUUCCAGGUUGGUUUCUUUCCUUGAGACGGGGUCUCUCUGUGUAGUCCAGGCUCACGUCAAACUCAUCAUGUGGCCCAGGCUGGCCUCAGACCCACAGUGAUCCUCUCGUGUCAGCCUCCCAAGUGCUGAGAUGACAGUGUGCACCACCAUGCCUGGCUUGGUUUCAUUCUUCACCAUGUGCUCUGUGAGACGGAUAUAAAUAAAUGGAGUCCAAACCCAAA